UUGACGUCAUUGCUCUGCAAAUUGGCUU
rnacentral:snRNA from 1 species